CAAAUAUCAGAUGUGAAAAAGGUCAGCUGUUAAGCAUCCACACCUGAUCUGAAUAAUCAACUAAUCAGAAACCAGGCAGCACACACAGCAGAAGCUGCUGAUUCUUCACAUAAGAAAAGCUCAGUCAUUCAACUAAAUGGACAUCAAACAGCAAAAUAGAGCACCUCUGGAGCCCAUCCGGGAAGAGUUAGAGCAAGAAGAUGAAACCGAAGAACGACAAGCAGGAGAAGAGACAGAGGAGGAUUUUCAAUUUCAAGAAGACACAGAGAAGGAACUGGCAGAAGAUAAGAGCGAAGAAGAAGAAGAUGAUGAUACUCUGUUGAGAAUUAUGAGACCUAGGCGGCUGUAUAGUUCCAUCAGCCAAGAGAAUAUCACUCAAACACAAUCUCCUAACAAUCAGCAGACAGAAAUGGAGAACUUUUUUGUGUCAGAUCAGAGCACACACACUGCAGAUUGGGGUGAUGAAGCUACACCAGCUGAACAGUCAGGGUUAGGAAAUGAGAAGAGGUCUAGUAGUGGGAAGCUGACAAUAAAGGUCACCAGGACUAGAUGGCAAGAACACACAUCACCUACACCACCGAAGCAGAAGAAAAGGCAAAGCUCCAAGACGUUGGUUGAGGGGCAGUUUCCGAAGUGGCUGGUGGACCUGAUGGUCAAUAUCGAAGAGGCAACAACCCAUGAACUCGUUAUUGAGUAACACUCAUCAUCACAUGUUGAUCAGGCCAAAUGAUGUAAUUGGUGAAUACUGAAUAUAGAACAAACUCGGCACGGCUAACAUGAACUAUUUCAGGUUGGCACUGCCAGAGAGUAAAGUCCGUGUGCAUGUUCUUGUUUUUUCUGCAGUUACAAGUAAAUAAGCAAAAUGUACCAGAAAAGUAAAAUAAGCCAUAAUACUGGUUGUGUUUGGGAAAAAAAUAAUUGCCCAGGCAAAACAUUUGUUCAAUAAUUCUGAGUAUAAUAUUUUUAGUUUAUAAUUUUUGUGCAAUAUUGGCAUUUAUCCCUGCUUCAGCCAGUAGUCCUGGAGCUGCUGCUGUUACGUGAUCCCUUUUACCUCUUUCUAAGUUGGUGUUCUUGAUCUGAAUGUUAGUGUAGAAUGCUGUUGGAGAGGCCGAAGCUCUCUCUAUAAGUGCAAUGUUUUACUGAAACAAUAGCGAUCACAUCUCCCCUGUUGCUUCAAAUUAGUUGGAGAGUUCAUCUUUGCAAGGAGCAGCACAUCCUUUACAAUUCAUAUGCCUGACUUGAUUGUGAUUUUAUUUUAAUGGCAUUUAUUUUGAAAGUAUGAAAGUACUUAUUAUUUAGGAAAAUGUGCCCUGUGAUUAUGUUGUUGUAUAGUAGGACUAUGGUAAAAAUUACUUAUUUACAGACAAUGUAUGUAGUGUUUCAAUGCCAUAAUUGGUCACAAUAGAACUGUAACUAAAACAUUAAAACUACUAACAGGAAAAGUGACUAACAGUGAUUGUCUCAUUACCCUGGCACCUGUGGAGAUGUGGAAUGUACAAGGUACUGCAAGUGAACAGUUGGAAAUUGAUGUUGGAAGGAGGAAAAACAGUGUGAGAGUGAGGAUCUAAGUGACUUUGACAAGGACUGAACUGUAAUAGCUAGAUGUCUUCGUCAGAGAAUCUCCAGAACAGCAGGACUUGUGGAGUGUUGGUAGAACCUACCACAAGAGGUCCAAAGGGGGUCAACCUCUGAACCAGCGACAGGGUCAUGGGUGCUUAAGCUCUCUGCUGCAUGUUGGGAGGGAAGACUGGCCCCUGUGACCUAAUUUGACAUGUUUGUUAUGAUAAAAGGGUGCAUUGCUCAUCGCUGCAUUUGAGUCUGCAUGACCGGUCAGAGUGUCCAUGCUGAACCCUGCUCACCACUGAAAACACCUACAGUGAGCACAUGAGUGUCACAAUAUGACCAUGGACCAAUGGAAGACAGUAGCCAGGUCUGAUAAUUAUGUGGAUGACUAGGCGCAUUUGUUUUAUUCAUCUGGGGAAGAGAUGGCAGCAGGAUACAAUAUGGGAAGAUGGUAGUUUUCCUGUGGUAGUGUGAUGAUCUGGCCUUCAUGUGGAUGUUACUUUGAUCCGUACCACCUACCUAAAUAUUGUUACAGACCACACAUUCCUCUUCAUGGCAACUUUAUUCCCUUAUGGCUUCUUUCAGCAGGAUAAUACCCACUGCCAUACUGCAAAUAUUGUUCAGGAAUGCUUAAGGAACACGAAGAUUCCAGGUGCUGAUUUGGCUUCCAAAGUCCGAAGAUCGCAAUCUGAUUGAGCAUCUGUGGGAUGUGCUGGAAAAACAAGUCCGAUCCAUGGAGGCCCCACCUCGCAAUUUAGAGAACUUAAAGGAUCUGCUGCUAACAUCUUGAUACCUUUACUACAGGACCCCUUCAGAAGUCUGUGGAGUUCAUGCUUUGAUGGGUCAAAGCUGUUUUGGUAGCAGAGGCAGGUUAUAAUUUUGUGGAUUCAGUGUACACUGCUGGCAGCUGAGAAUUUAUAUUUACCUUUGACAAUUCUCUGUUAUUUUUUGUGUUCAUUCUGCAAAGUACUGUAGCUACGUGUGUCAAAUAAAUGUUGUCAGAGUACAAUAUUUGUUUAUCAGCUGUUGGAAAGUAUAAGAAAAAUAGAAGACACUGGAAGUAUUCAGGCAGAGGACUUUAAGUUUGCCAGUUCAAAAUCAGUCACAGCCUCACUAUCAAAUGCAUAUAUAAAUAUUUCCCAUUAUGUUUCUCAUCAAGCUGUAACCCCAGAUCCUCAUCCAAGAU
ensembl:lncRNA